GUAGCACAAAAUAAUUAGUGUGCGGACCAUUUUCAUUUACAUAGUACUUUGUGAACCCAAAUUAGUUAGCAUAAAUCAGUUAAAUGACGAAAAAUUAGGUGUCUAUUUACUUGUGACCAUUCAGUGUAUAUAUCCGUCGCUUGCCACUAGCAGGAGCUGUGUAUUAGCACUUCGAGGUUCUCAAACCUUGGUAUGAAUAACUCUCUGGACUGUUUGCUUGCCACUAGCAGGAACUGUGCAGUGGCAU